rnacentral:lncRNA from 1 species
CUAUAUUUGAUAAUUGGAAGCGCCGUUGUCAGGGAUUCGAGGUUUACUUUUCUAGUAGUGUGAAUUGAUUGAAUUUGACUUGGUUGUAUAUUAUUUUUGUUUUAUUUUUGUUUAAUUGCGUUUUAUUUUAUUUUUCUGUAAAAGUGCUUUUAGGGUGUGUUUCUUGUGUAUGCAGGAAACAAUACAUACUAGGAGCAGAAAAGACCAGCAACCUCUUUUAGAAGGUUUACCGGACAG